GCGGUAAAACCAGCACCUCAAGUGGUCAGGAGGAUUAUUGGGCCUAAAGCAUCCGUAGCCGGCUCUGUAAGUUUUCGGUUAAAUCCAUGUGCUCAACGCAUGGGCUGUCGAAAAUACUGCAUAGCUAGGGAGUGGGAGAGGUAGACGGUACUCGGUAGGAAGGGGUAAAAUCCUUUGAUCUAUCGAUGACCACCUGUGGCGAAGGCGGUCUACCAGAACACGUUCGACGGUGAGGGAUGAAAGCUGGGGGAGCAAACCGGAUUAGAUACCCGGGUAGUCCCAGCUGUAAACGAUGCAGACUCGAUGAUGCAUUGGCAUAUAGCCAGUGCAGUGUCGCAGGGAAGCCGUUAAGUCUGCCGCCUGGGAAGUACGUACGCAAGUAUGAAACUUAAAGGAAUUGGCGGGGGAGCACGGUCAUACCUUGGUUUCCUGA
rnacentral:rRNA from 1 species